AAAGGGAGCGUAGGCGGCUGAUUAAGUCAGCGGUGAAAGGUAGCAGCUUAACUGUUUUACAUGCCGUUGAUACUGGUUAGCUUGAGUUGACAGAAGGCAGAUAGAAUUCCUGGUGUAGCGGUGAAAUGCUUAGAUACCAGGAGGAAUACCGAUUGCGAAGGCAGUCUGCUGCAGUCACACUGACGCUGAGGCUCGAAGGUGCGGGGAUCAAACAGGAUUAGAUACCCAGU
rnacentral:rRNA from 1 species